rnacentral:rRNA from 1 species
UACGAAGGGAGCUAGCGUUGUUCGGAAUCACUGGGCGUAAAGCGCACGUAGGCGGAUGUGUCAGUCAGGGGUGAAAUCCCGGAGCUCAACUUCGGAACUGCCCUUGAUACAGCACAUCUGGAGUCCGGAAGAGGUGGGUGGAAUUCCUAGUGUAGAGGUGAAAUUCGUAGAUAUUAGGAAGAACACCGGUGGCGAUGGCGGCCCACUGGUCCGGUACUGACGCUGAGGUGCGAAAGCGUGGGGAGCAAACAGG